rnacentral:rRNA from 1 species
CAGCAGCCGCGGUAAUACGUAGGGUGCAAGCGUUAAUCGGAUUUACUGGGCGUAAAGCGCACGUAGGCGGAUCGAUCUGUCAGGGGUGAAAUCCCAGAGCUCAACUCUGGAACUGCCUUUGAUACUGUCGAUCUGGAGUAUGGAAGUGGUGAGUGGAAUUCCGAGUGUAGAGGUGAAAUUCGUAGAUAUUCGGAGGAUCACCAGUGGCGAAGGCGGCUCACUGGUCCAUUUCUGACGCUGAGGUGCGAAGGCGUGGGGAGCAAACAGGAUUAGAUACCCCAGUAGUCCCUGUCUCUUAUAC